CCUACGGGUGGCAGCAGUGGGGAAUAUUGGGCAAUGGGCGCAAGCCUGACCCAGCAACGCCGCGUGAAGGAAGACGGCUUUCGGGUUGUAAACUUCUUUUCGCAGGGACGAAGAAAGUGACGGUACCUGAGGAAUAAGCCACGGCCAAAUACGUGCCCGCAGCCGCGGGAAUACGUAUGUGGCAAGCGUUCUCCGGAUUUACUGGGUGUAAGGGGCGGGUAGGCGGGACUGCAAGUCAGAUGGGAAAGCCACGGGCUCAACCUGUGGACUGCAGUUGAAACUGUAGUUCUUGAGUACUGGAGAGGCAGACGGAAUGCCUAGUGUAGCGGUGAAAUGCGUAGAUAUUAGGAGGAACACCAGUGGCGAAGGCGGUCUGCUGGACAGCAACUGACGCUGAGGCGCGAAAGCGUGGGGAGCAAACAGGAUUAGAUACCCCUGUAGUC
rnacentral:rRNA from 1 species